GGCCUGCCCCCUGAGUUUUUAAAUGGCCGCGGUACUUUGACCGUGCAAAGGUAGCAUAAUAAUUAGUUUUUUAAUUGAAAGCUGGAAUGAAAGGUUGGAUGAGAAAAUGACUGUCUCUAUUUAGAUUAUUUAGAAUUUUAUUUUUAAGUAAAAAAGCUUAAAUAUGAAUAGAAGACGAGAAGACCCUAUAGAGUUUUAUUUUUUAUUUAAUUGAGAUUAUUAGUAUUUAAAGUGUUUUUAUUAAAUGAAAAAUUUAGUUGGGGUGAUUGAAAAAUUUAAUAAACUUUUUUUGAAAAAAACCAUUAAUUUAUGAUUGUUUGAUCCUUUAAUAAAGAUUAAAAGAAAAAAUUACCUUAGGGAUAACAGCGUAAUUUUUUUAGAGAGUUCAAAUCGAAAGAAAAGAUUGCGACCUCGAUGUUGGAUUAAAAUUAAUUUUUGGUGUAGAAGCUAAG
rnacentral:rRNA from 1 species